UUUUCACAGGACAGCAUCGGUCUGCUCCUCGACGCAGUCAAGACGUCUAAUGAAGAUGUGGCUCAAACCUGGAAGAAAUCAGAGCAAUGGGCAACGAUCGAGCAACUCUGCAGCACAGUGGGUGGCCAGCCAUCCAGUUCUCAUGGUUACGGUGCGAUGGGCGGUCCCUCAGUACCGGUCUCCGCCUCCUCCAUGUGGUCCUGUCUGCACUGCACCUUCAUGAACCAGCCGGGCACCGAGCACUGCGAAAUGUGCAGCCUGCCGCGCAGCUAGGCCCCGCCCCCUCAUAGCUAGGCCUCCUCCCAACACACACCGCCGCGGGUCAUUUUGACAAACUGUACCGCCUCAAAACCUCAACUCUCCCAAUCCUUCACCUGUUAAACCUGCCCAAUGAAUAGAGCUGGUUUAGGAAGUAAAAUGUCACUCAUUUCUUCUCCACUGACUUGAAAUGAACUAUUAAACCGUGUGAAAGCUUGAUUUUGGCUUAUCGGCCUCGUACGCCCUCAUGACCAUAUAAAGAAAAAAAAAAUCUGAAACUUUAUAAAAAGUAAAGUUAUUUUUGUUCAAAUUCUGUUACUUUUUAGAUUGAAUAUAAUUGCACUAUGGUCCUUAGUUGCCCCGUACCUUGUUAGCCUCUCUUGAACUUCAACUGGUAGAGGAUGCACCACCUGCUUGUCUCCAUGGAGAUGUUAUUGCUUUGCCUUGUAUUUUCCACAGUAUGGCAUUUAACUUAUCUGUCUUGCAGUUAUUCAAUUUAUACAUGUUUUUAUUGGAAAAAACAACAUCUUGGAAAAUAUGCAUUUUUAUUGUGAAACGGUUUGCUUUUCCAUAGAUCUGACCUGUAUCUUGGCCUGAUGGUGUAACCGGUUUGCCUCCAUGGAAAUGGAUACGUUUAAUGCCUUAAUGAAACACUAUGAGCAAAUUAAAACAUCUCCAUGGAGAUAAGCAGAUGACAGAUUUUCCACCUGAAAAGUUAUGUUACAUUUACACUCAUAAUAUUCACCUUUGUGUAUUUUUUUAGUUUUCUUGAAAUGAACUGGUCAUUUUACUUCCAAAACCAGAAGUCUCUACUCACUGUUGACCUCUAGAGUGAGAACCACAUGGAAACAACUUGCCCCUCUCUUCUUUGGACAAGAUUAAAAACAAAGGAAUAGAGGAGUUAAGGUACCUAAAUUUUGGGAAUUGAGAUGCAUCCCAUACCCACGCAGAAGCCACGCCCCUUUCCCCGCCCACUUCCUGCAGUAACAUCACUUCCCAUGUCAGGCCCGUCAACACAAAUUUGGAGGCCCGGGGCAAGAAGCCUCACACGGGUCCCCCUCCUAAUAAAAUGAAAAAGGUCCAAUUCUGGGCCCCUAAGUCCCUGGGGCCCAGGACAACAGACCUUUGCCCCUCCCCUCGUCGACUCUCCUGUCGACCUUCCUGCCCAUAUGCUCGAUGACAUCACACACCAGGAACGGCUGCAAUGUUUUCCUCCAAAUUUCUCAUUUUAACAUUUGAGCCUCGGCAUAAAAUACAGAAAAUUUGAAGUUUACAAUGAAUAUUUAUAUAAUGGAUCAAAUUGUUGUUCUUGCACAAAACGUGUUCCUGUUGAGUUCUUUAAAUCAGACCUAUUAUGUUUGUGUCUGCUCCAUAAAUAUAAUCCAUAACACCUGUGGAUCAUUAUGUUAUAAUUUACACAUUUUAGAUUACAAUAUUCAUCUAAAACAAUUUAAAAGAAACAAGUCCACUGACGUCUGCAUUAGAAAACUGCGGUGCCCAGUGGGAGCUGACGUCACCAUAAACGUCAUCACAACAAAAUGCCGUGGAGCUGUCGGCUCCUCAUAUGGAGCUGCCAGUCACACUAGCAAGUAGCGGAUUUUUUGUUCAUUUGUACCAAAAUGACUAUGUGACGCUGCUGAAUUCUAUUUGUAUCAUUGAUUAGGAAAAUAAAAUGUAAGAACAAAGUGCGUACAUCGUGGGCGUGUACCAGUGGCGGUGAAAACGGGGAUUGAUCGGCAAAAUGGCGUCUUGAAAAUAACAUGCACUCAUCACACCAAAUACAACUUCAAGAGAGUAAAUGAGACAAAAACAAUUAUAAUACAGUUAAAAGCUCUGAAAAGUCCAUUUUGCAGAAUAGGUCUGAUUUAAAGUACUUUUUGGUUAGGAUUUCCUUAUACUUCCUUCACCCAACUAAAUCCUACAAUAAUUAAAAAAAACAACAAACAUAAAUACUAAUAAAAUAAAUGUUUAAUGGCCCUAUUUUGCAACGCUACCUUAUCUUGAAUAUAGAAAUCUGUUCCCUAAAAUAGUUUGUUCGUCUGAUUUCUGCCUGGCAACUAACAAUUAGAGUGGUUUGCUACAGGCUAACUAGCAAACUGCUAUUUGUAUGCUAGUCUGUAUUUCAGUUUUUCUUCUAUAACAAAACUACUCUUGACUAAAUUGGAAAAAUCAAACUUGCAAAUGAUUUUUAAGGCUGUUAAAAUAUUUCACACGUCCUUCACAUUGUAGCUAUGACGAUUAAUAGCAAAAGUAAAUAUGUAGCCUGUUCCUCUUUAGACAAGACGUCACUCUUGACACAUUGUCUUUUAGGUGCUUUUAGACUAAACUACUGGUGCUCCUUCCCUUCUAUCUGUUCUUUUUUUCCUCCUAAAUUCAAACAUGUUUUUCCCAUUAUCGUUGUUCAAAGCAGCGAGGUCAAAGGGCACGGCAGCUGCUCCACAUCUGGAUACAGUGUGGCCGCCAUCUUAAAAAUCUUUUGAAAAAUAUGAACGAUGAUGUUGAUUUUGUACAGCUGCUGUUUUUGAAUGGGAUAUUGGCAAAAUAACUUUAUAAAUUUAGGUGAAAAAGUUGACAAUUUGGCCGAAAAGGUGUCAAAGUCUAGCGAUUCUCAAAACUUUUUUCAUACCUCUUUAAAUUUGUUUAUUCGCAAGCCUUAAUCUUGACCAACUUAACUUUAACCAAUGGAAAAAAUGUCUAUCUAUCAUCUAAUAAUUGAAAAAUAUAUGGCAAUAAGUUCAAUACUACAAGUUAAACCAUGAAUACCAGGACUACGCAAGUUCAAACCAAGUCCAACCCAUCUGUACCUAAGCACUACAUGAAAUCACAACACAAUUCAAAUUUCUAUAUCGUUUUGCACUGACAAAAUCUUACAAAUAAAAUAGUUUUGUGUUUGAAAAAAUUUUACAGAUUGAUAAGAGAUCAGAAGAAAGCACUUAACAUUCACAGCACUUGGGGAAACGUCACUAUAAAACACGUGAAUGAGUAAAUGUGUCACGUUUAUGUCUGGACCAAAAUGUACAUAAGAAUGAUGUCAAAAUGCAAGACGAUCAAACGGUCCAAGCCUUAACACAAACAGAAACCAUAGAAACCAAAGCACUUAAAAUCCAUAUGGACGUUUAACCAUUUUACACAGAGCCUGGUUUAGAAAUAUGACAUCAUCUUUGUAAAAAAAAAAAAUCACAUUAAUUUAACUUUUUCAAACUGUCACUCUUUAAAAAUAACACUUAAUAUGCAUCAAUUUUCCGAUCUGCAAAAAACACAAUAGAUUUAGUUUUACUUUAAAGGCGCUUCAUGUAACUUUUCUGCUUUGAGGUUGCGUCACCUGCUUGUCUGGAGAUGGAGAUGUUAUUGCUUUGCCUGGAAGGUUCCACAGUAUGGCAUUCAACUUAUCUGUCUUGCAUGUUCUAAAAGGUUUUUAAUAGCACAAAAAUACCUUGAAAAACACGCGUUGUUACUUUAAGCGAGGUCGCCUCUCCACAGAUCUGACCGGCUAACUUGGCCUUGUUGCAUCAUACGCCUGCCUCAGUAGAGACGAGUUUAAUGUCAUACUGUGGAACAUUCCAGGCAAAGCGGUUGUAUCUCCAUGGAGACGAGCAGAGGGUGGACCCUUGUUCUCAGAAGUUCCACAUUGCGCCUUUUAAACCGCAUCUUAGUAAAUCACUUGUUUGCGUCCAGACCACUGUAUCGGACACUGCCCUAAUGUGAAUUUUCUGGGUGCGUUUGAACAGUUCACCUCUGGGGCCUGUUGUGGCGUGUUUCGGGGAGAGGGGCGUCCUCGUUCAGACUGAUCUAUUUAUGAGGUGUGCGGUUCUUUGAGAUGUUAUUCCAUUGAAAACAUGAGGACAUAUUUUAGUUGUAGCUGAAAUUGGUUGUUUUUUUUUGCCCAGUUUUUUGGUGUGAAUUGCGAGCGUUUCUCUGAUGUCAUGGACAGCUUUUCCUUUUGUAAUGAUCUGGACGUUUGCUGAGCAAACAGUGCUCCUCCUCUUCAGCGACUGGAGCUCCACUAGGAGGCGCUGUUCACAUGGAUUUAAACUAAAUAAAAUAAUAAACUAUUCCUACCA